UCAGUUUUUCUCAAAAACCUAAAUCCCCCUAAUCCUCGAAACCUACAUUGAGCACCUUCCCUCAAACAUCACUCCCAUUGUCUCGCUAUCAAACACCCAACAAUAAGCAUCGAUUCAAAUUCAGAGACAGAUUUCCGCUACUCCGUGACUUACAGCUUCAUUAGUUCGAGAUAUUUCGUAUUCCGCCAUGGAGCUGCUCUAGAGGUGGUGCUCAAUCGUACAUGAUAGAAACCAGAGGCGAGAAGAAACAUGCUUUGACCAGGCUUUUGAUUUUUCCAACCUGCAUUAUGUUGUUUUGAAGGAGAACUAAUGCCCAUUCGGAUUGUAUGUUUUUACUAUGUGGUGGAAGAGACCUCUAGCACAGGGCCCAUGUGAACAAGGUCGUCACUUAGAAUUCAGGUUUGUACAUGGCGAACUACAUGGGAUGGGUGGAUUGGAUAACAGGUUGAAUCAAUGAUUCUCGGGGAGGUGCAAGACUUACCAAAGGGAUUCUAACGAGAAAAUAAAAUCAUUCAAACGAUUCUCAGGCAACUCUUGUUUGCAUUAGACGGUCUUCACUCAAUAGGGAUUGUUCACCGAGACAUCAAACCACAGAAUAUUAUUUUCUCUGAAGAUACCCAAACUGAGCAGAAUCGUUACAUACAUCCCAUCUGCAACCUGAGAUGGACUGUUUGGAUGCAGCUUUAGUUACCAUAUUUCAGAUACAUAUAGAGGAAGGGCCUGGUGGUAUACUUGUUUUUUUAUCUGGUCAAGAAGAGAUUGAAUCCAUUGAGGGUUCAGAAAGGUUAUACUGGCAACAAACAUUGCUGAAACAUCAGUAACAAUACCAGGAGUCAAGUAUGUUAUUGAUCCUGGAUUGGUAAAAGUGCGCAGUUACUCUCCUGACAGUGGGAUCGAAUCUUUGAUUGUUAUUGAAGUGGAAGUAUGACUACUAAGAAAACGUUAACACGAUGAUUAUUUAACUCGCAUGAAGAUUGUGAAAGAGAUUAAUGAACUUAAUGAAGUUUUGAAUUUUUAUUCAUACACUUGUUAGUUUAUUUGGGUUGUAUGUUUUAUCAUUAGACUUAGAUCGACACUUAUUAGCCAUUUGGAAUCUUUGGAAGAUUGAUUGAACUUUUAAUUGAAGUGAUUAUUUUA